GAUGAACGCUGGCGGCAUGCCUUACACAUGCAAGUCGAACGGCAGCGGGGGAGAAGCUUGCUUUUCCUGCCGGCGAGUGGCGAACGGGUGAGUAAUACAUCGGAACGUGCCCUGUAGUGGGGGAUAACUAGUCGCAAGAUUAGCUAAUACCGCAUACGACCUGAGGUUGAAAGUGGGGGACCGCAAGGCCUCAUGCUAUAGGAGCGGCCGAUGUCUGAUUAGCUAGUUGGUGGGGUAAAGGCCUACCAAGGCGACGAUCAGUAGCUGGUCUGAGAGGACGAUCAGCCACACUGGGACUGAGACACGGCCCAGACUCCUACGGGAGGCAGCAGUGGGGAAUUUUGGACAAUGGGCGAAAGCCUGAUCCAGCAAUGCCGCGUGUGUGAAGAAGGCCUUCGGGUUGUAAAGCACUUUUGUCCGGAAAGAAAUGGCUCUGGUUAAUACCUGGGGUCGAUGACGGUACCGGAAGAAUAAGGACCGGCUAACUACGUGCCAGCCGCCGCGGUAA
rnacentral:rRNA from 1 species